AUAUUUUUAGAAAUGUACUGAGCUAGGCUUUGUGCUAAGAGUGUGCUGGCUGUGCUUGGAGCUGCUCUCAGCUCUUAUAGACCCUCCGUGAGCACCAUGAGAGCCUCAGCAAAUGACACUAGACAUUUCCAGCACUAAGGGAGACUAAGAUCACACAUGAGAACCGUGCCAACAGGCUUACCUCCAGAUGGGACAAAAUCGGAACCUGGCUACCACUGAGCAUGGCCGGAGACAUGUAGCUACGGUUAGAAACCCUAUGGAGAGAAGCAGAGACCAGGACAGAGAGAAGAGGAAGAUAAGAAGACGGAGGCAGAGACUGGAGUGAUGUGGCCACAAGCCAAGGAACGCCAGAGCCACUAGAAGGUGGAAAAGACAAGACACACAUCUUGCGUUGUGUGCCUGGAAGGAGUGCAGCCCUGCUAGAUUUCCAACUUCUGGCCACCAUAACUUUGAAAUGAAUCUGCUGUGUUAA